AUUGAACGCUGGCGGCAUGCUUUACACAUGCAAGUCGGACGGCAGCACAGAGAAGCUUGCUUCUUGGGUGGCGAGUGGCGAACGGGUGAGUAAUAUAUCGGAACGUACCGAGUAAUGGGGGAUAACUAAUCGAAAGAUUAGCUAAUACCGCAUAUUCUCUGAGGAGGAAAGCAGGGGACCUUCGGGCCUUGCGUUAUUCGAGCGGCCGAUAUCUGAUUAGCUAGUUGGUGGUGUAAAGGCCUACCAAGGCGACGAUCAGUAGCGGGUCUGAGUGGAUGAUCCGCCACACUGGGACUGAGACACGGCCCAGACUCCUACGGGAGGCAGCAGUGGGGAAUUUUGGACAAUGGGCGCAAGCCUGAUCCAGCCAUGCCGCGUGUCUGAAGAAGGCCUUCGGGUUGUAAAGGACUUUUGUCAGGGAAGAAAAGGCUGUUGCUAAUAUCGACAGCUGAUGACGGUACCUGAAGAAUAAGCACCGGCUAACUACGUG
rnacentral:rRNA from 1 species